GCGAACGCUGGCGGCGUGCUUAACACAUGCAAGUCGAACGAUGAAGCGGGUGCUUGCACUCGUGGAUUAGUGGCGAACGGGCGAGUAACACGUGAGUAACCUGUCCUUUUCUUUGGGAUAACGGCUGGAAACGGCUGCUAAUACUGGAUAUUCAGGCUGCAUCGCAUGGUGUGGUUUGGAAAGGUUUUUUCUGGGAUUGGGUGGGCUCGCGGCCUAUCAGCUUGUUGGUGGGGUGAUGGCUUACCAAGGCUUUGACGGGUAGCCGGCCUGAGAGGGUGGUCGGUCGCACUGGGACUGAGAUACGGCCCAGACUCCUACGGGAGGCAGCAGUGGGGAAUAAUGCACAAUGGACGAAAGUUUGAUGCAGCGACGCCGCGUGGAGGGUGUAGGCCUUCGGGUUGUGAACUCCUUUGUCUCGCGAAAAAGGCACAGUUUUGGCUGUGUUGAUGGUAGUGGGGGAAGAAGCGCCGGCUAACUACGUG
rnacentral:rRNA from 1 species